AGUUCGGACCUGGAGGAUGGAAAUGUUUUAGUUUUACAGUGUUUUAUUUUUCUUCUCAAACUCAUGAAUAUCAGAUUUUUCUCACAGUAAUUAAAUAAGUCGCUCUGACAGCCUCUGACGUUCUCAUCUAUCUCCGCUCUCAGUCCUCAUUAGCCUCAGAGUAAAAACAGAUAUUUUUCCCCGGGUGUCCGGCGUGCUGUUGUAAAAUAAUGAGCUGUAACAAUGACAGUUUUUUUUUUGAGGUUGAGAGCUCCCCAAUGAGCCGCUCCUUUCCUCGCUCUGUCCGGGUUCGCUAAUUGGUCUGUUCAGGCAGGAAGCCCCGCGGCUCCACGAAUCUAUGACGAUAGAUUCGGCGUUUGUUCUGUUUUUUCUGCGUGAUGAUGAUGAUGAUGAUGUUUGGAGGAUUUGGUUAUCAUAAAUGUUGAGGUGGAAACAGGCCGUUGAAACCUUUGAGUCCCCUUGCUGCUCUCUCUUUCUGUUUCACUGGAAUUCAAUUUUCACUUCAUGAUGAAAAGUCGGAAACUGUUCAGUGUUUGUUUUUCGAUUUCCUUAAGAAAUCAGAGGCGAGAGAACGAGGCGGAUACUCCCACUCAGACAGACAAACAUUUGAGGAUCUUGUUGUUUACAGACUCUGACCUGCACUGAUGUGUCUCUGUUUUCUGUUUUUCUAGUAUUUUUCACCUCCUCUGAAG